rnacentral:rRNA from 1 species
AUUGAACGCUGGCGGCAGGCUUAACACAUGCAAGUCGAGCGAGCGGCGGACGGGUGAGUAAUGUCUGGGAAACUGCCAGAUGGAGGGGGAUAACUACUGGAAACGGUAGCUACUACCGCAUACCAUCAGAUGUGCCCAGAUGGGUUUAGCUUGUAGGUGGGGUAAUGGCUCACCUAGUCGACGAUCCCUAGCUGGUCUGAGAGGAUGACCAGCCACACGGGAACUGCGACACUGGUUAUACUCCUACGGGAGGCAGUAGUGGGGAAUAUUGCACAAUGGGCGCAAUCCUGAUGCAGCCAUGCCGCGUGUGUGAAGAAGGCCUUCGGGUUGUAAAGCACUUUCAGCGAGGAGGCGUUACUCGCAGAAGAAGCACCGGCUAACUCCGUGCCAGCAGCCGCGGUAAUAC